AUCAUGACAGUUUAAAGCGCAUGGUCACUAGUCAAAAGCUUAUUCAAAUUUAGUAGGAUGUCCAGUCCACAGUGGGAGUGUUUUCAUUAUCAAACGUCGAGCACAUGGUGCAACAUGGUGUUGCUAG